rnacentral:rRNA from 1 species
AUUGAACGCUGGCGGCAUGCCUUACACAUGCAAGUCGAACGGCAGCACGGGAGCAAUCCUGGUGGCGAGUGGCGAACGGGUGAGUAAUAUAUCGGAACGUGCCCAGUCGUGGGGAUAACGUAGCGAAAGCUACGCUAAUACCGCAUACGAUCUAUGGAUGAAAGCGGGGGAUCGCAAGACCUCGCGCGAUUGGAGCGGCCGAUAUCAGAUUAGGUAGUUGGUGAGGUAAAGGCUCACCAAGCCGACGAUCUGUAGCUGGUCUGAGAGGACGACCAGCCACACUGGGACUGAGACACGGCCCAGACUCCUACGGGAGGCAGCAGUGGGGGAAUUUUUGGACAAUGGGCGCAAGCCUGAUCCAGCAAUGCCGCGUGCA